rnacentral:rRNA from 1 species
GGGAACUGAAACAUCUAAGUACCCCGAGGAAAAGAAAUCAACCGAGAUUCCCCCAGUAGCGGCGAGCGAACGGGGAGGAGCCCAGAGCCUGAAUCAGCAUGUGUGUUAGUGGAAGCGUCUGGAAAGGUGCGCGAUACAGGGUGACAGCCCCGUACACAAAAGCGCAUGUGCUGUGAGCUCGAUGAGUAGGGCGGGACACGUGGUAUCCUGUCUGAAUAUGGGGGGACCAUCCUCCAAGGCUAAAUACUCCUGACUGACCGAUAGUGAACCAGUACCGUGAGGGAAAGGCGAAAAGAACCCCGGCGAGGGGAGUGAAAAAGAACCUGAAACCGUGUACGUACAAGCAGUGGGAGCACCCUUCGGGGUGUGACUGCGUACCUUUUGUAUAAUGGGUCAGCGACUUAUAUUCUGUAGCAAGGUUAACCGUAUAGGGGAGCCGUAGGGAAACCGAGUCUUAACCGGGCGUUAAGUUGCAGGGUAUAGACCCGAAACCCGGUGAUCUAGCCAUGGGCAGGUUGAAGGUUGGGUAACACUAACUGGAGGACCGAACCGACUAAUGUUGAAAAAUUAGCGGAUGACCUGUGGCU